GAAUAUAGUACGUUCAUAUGGUUAGAAUGUGUGUAUAGGAAACCCUCGGACGUUUUUAAAACUGGUUAAAUCACGACUGUGGCUAUUACAUAACGUGCGUUACAUCGGAAAGCGCAGGAAAACCUGAUCACAGAAAAUGGAAAUAAAUAUCCUUGCGCCACUUCCAGCAAUUGUUAACAGUGAGCCGAAUUAGAUAAGACCGAGCAUUCAACUCCCACAGCAUCCCCAUGCAGUCGAGUAUCUUGUGAAUUUAAUCCUAUUUGAUUCUUGGUUGAACCGAAAGAGGGGCACGACGUACCUCCGGUCUCCGCCCAGAUCAUUCCGGAAGAGCUCUCUCCUGAAAUUUUUUCCAAGACGACAGCUAAUGAAUGUACAUCGCCUACGGAUGAUUUUUAUCGCUUAUUAACGUUUACUAAUACCUAAAGUAGCAUUACAAACGUAUUUCGAAGUGUUUUGUGAAAGUUUAUCGUCUACUUUUUGAAUUUUAAAAAAUGACGUUACGUUGUGAAUUCGCUGUUUUUUUCGUUUAUCACACAGUCUACAUAUAACGAUAUCUUAGCUUUAUAUGGCCCGAUUUAAUCGAAAUAAAGACCCAAUAGUGUUUAUGGGACAUCUAGGAGUGCCAACAAAGAAGAUGGUGAAAGGCAAUCAUAUCUAACUACGGGGGAAGGAUGGCCAGCCACACAGGAGGGUGAUUUUUAAUAAGGAGGUCAUCUUGAGUGACCGACGUCAUGAACGCUGGAACAAGGUAUAACGUACUUUCAGAUCACUGAAACAUCACCUGAUGUGCUGGAAGUUGUCGAACCAGAUCAGAACGACUUUGAAUACUACCUUCAGGCACGGACUAAGAUGUGGAGUUUUUUGACCAGGUGAGACUGAACCUGGACAAGGCUCAGGAGAAACAGAAGGAGAGUUACCGGAGCAGAAUCAAGAAGGGGACCAAGUGCUACGAUAUCCGGGUGAAUUACCUGGUUUGGAAGAAGGACGAAAGGAAGGCGAAACCUGGGAAACCACGCUGCUCUUUCGCUCCUAGCUGGGGUCACCAUCUGUUAAAGCGAAUAUAAAACAUGUCUUUGUCUUCCUAGGGUUACCUCAGUGGAAGCCAACAAUCUUCUACAGUUGGAGCAGUUGGACGGUCAACCACUGGAAGCACUGAUGGACUACACUUCAGUGAAGCCCAAUAGACAAAGACCAUUAUCUGUCCGAGCCCCCCAGGAGGUAUCCCGUCCACCAGAACCAGUGAGUUCAGAUCAGUCUGAUUCUCAGUACUCUGAGUCGGAAGGGGACCAGCUUGAGUUGGGCUCAGCCUGUCCCUCCCCCUCUCCAGCCUGCAGCCCUGGAGCCUUGGAGCUCUGCAGCCAUGGCUCACUGUACCCUCCCCUGUGCUGCAGUCACAAGCUGGGUGACCUCUCCUUGAUGGCAGGAUGCCUGGCAUGGAAAAAAACGACGGAGGGAAGGAGAAGGAGGGGGUUUGCUGCUGCACACCGCAGAUAAUGAAGCCAACCGAAGGGGAAAUCAAUUCCUCUGAAAAUGGCAUCUGGGCCGCACAGCACUGGAACGGCAGGAGGAGAAACACUAGGCAGGUUUCCAUUGCCCCAGGUUUAUUCGACAAAAGUAAUGUUGAAAUAAAAAUCUUUGUGACAUGUGUAAUGGAAACAGCAGAUAUAGGAGACAGACAACAUUUUUAUCCGUUGGACUGGGAUGGAUUUUCCUUUUGUCUAACUUUCUUUAUUGCAAAUGAUGAUGGAAACUUAAUUUUUUUGAAUAAAUGAUGGCUAUUGCUUCACCUUGCUUUUCUGGUUGACUGGAUGAAAGUUUCACCAUCCAAUUAUUUCAUA